rnacentral:rRNA from 1 species
AACGAACGCUGGCGGCAGGCUUAACACAUGCAAGUCGAACGAGCUGGGACCUUCGGGUCCCGAUGCUAGUGGCGCACGGGUGAGUAACACGUGGGAACGUACCCUUUAGUACGGAAUAACUGAGGGAAACUUCAGCUAAUACCGUAUGACUCCUUAGGGAGAAAGAUUUAUCGCUAAAGGAACGGCCCGCGUCUGAUUAGGUAGUUGGUGAGGUAAUGGCUCACCAAGCCUACGAUCAGUAGCUGGUCUGAGAGGAUGAUCAGCCACACUGGGACUGAGACACGGCCCACGACUCCUACGGGAGGCAGCAGUAGGGAAUAUUGGACAAUGGCUGAAAAGCUGAUCCAGCCAUCCCGCGU